rnacentral:rRNA from 1 species
GAUCCUGGCUCAGGAUGAACGCUGGCGGCGUGCUUAACACAUGCAAGUCGAACGGGAAACCUAUUAUUGAAACUUCGGUCGAUUUAAUUUGUUUCUAGUGGCGGACGGGUGAGUAACGCGUGGGUAACCUGCCCUAUACAGGGGGAUAACAACCAGAAAUGGUUGCUAAUACCGCAUAAGCGCACAGGACCGCAUGGUCCGGUGUGAAAAACUCCGGUGGUAUAGGAUGGACCCGCGUUGGAUUAGCUAGUUGGCAGGGUAACGG